rnacentral:rRNA from 1 species
CCUACGGGUGGCUGCAGUGGGGAAUAUUGCACAAUGGGCGCAAGCCUGAUGCAGCCAUGCCGCGUGUGUGAAGAAGGCCUUCGGGUUGUAAAGCACUUUCAGCGGGGAGGAAGGCGGUGAGGUUAAUAACCUCAUCGAUUGACGUUACCCGCAGAAGAAGCACCGGCUAACUCCGUGCCAGCAGCCCCGGUAAUACGGAGGGUGCAAGCGUUAAUCGGAAUUACUGGGCGUAAAGCGCACGCAGGCGGUCUGUCAAGUCGGAUGUGAAAUCCCCGGGCUCAACCUGGGAACUGCAUUCGAAACUGGCAGGCUAGAGUCUUGUAGAGGGGGGUAGAAUUCCAGGUGUAGCGGUGAAAUGCGUAGAGAUCUGGAGGAAUACCGGUGGCGAAGGUGGCCCCCUGGACAAAGACUGACGCUCAGGUGCGAAAGCGUGGGGAGCAAACAGGAUUAGAUACCCGGGUAGUC